GAUGAACGCUGGCGGCGUGCCUAAUACAUGCAAGUCGAGCGAACAGAUGAGGAGCUUGCUCCUCUGACGUUAGCGGCGGACGGGUGAGUAACACGUGGAUAACCUACCUAUAAGACUGGGAUAACUUCGGGAAACCGGAGCUAAUACCGGAUAAUAUAUUGAACCGCAUGGUUCAAUAGUGAAAGACGGUUUUGCUGUCACUUAUAGAUGGAUCCGCGCCGCAUUAGCUAGUUGGUAAGGUAACGGCUUACCAAGGCAACGAUGCGUAGCCGACCUGAGAGGUGGAUCGGCCACACUGGAACUGAGACACGGUCCAGACUCCUACGGAAGGCAGCAGUAGGGAAUCUUCCGCAAUGGGCGAAGGCCUGACGGGGCAACGCCGCGUAAGUGAUGAAGGUCUUCGGAUCGUAAAACUCUGUUAUUAGGGAAGAACAAAUGUGUAAGUAACUAUGCACGUCUUGACGGUACCUAAUCAGAAAGCCACGGCUAACUACGU
rnacentral:rRNA from 1 species